UACUCCGCUGCAGGCCAGUUUUACCAUGGAGUGAAUGCUGAGGUAUAUGACAUUCGCCCCAGCUUAGAUCAAGGCAAACCUCAUGCGACAAUGGAUGUGAAAGGUCACAAACUCAGGGUGACAAGGGGGUCCCAGAAAGAUUACAGACUCAAUCUGAAACAAGGUACCAACGUUUCGUGCUGGUUUGUU